ensembl:snoRNA SNORD14 Small nucleolar RNA SNORD14
UCGCUGUGAUGAUGGAUUCCAAAACCAUUCGUAGUUUCCACCAGAACAAUUUUGUGUUGGCCAGUUCCUUCCUUGGAUGUCUGAGCGA